rnacentral:lncRNA from 1 species
AGUUUUGCUUUUAAUGAAGGACAAGGGAUUAAGACACACAGAGACUGGCCAGACAAAUGGGAAACCGACCAGACCAGCCCAUGACCAAAAUAUCACAGGCAGACCACCCGCAAAUGCAGAGGCCUCAGAGUCCACAGUGGGCAGUUGGAACCAGGCCCCAGGGAAUCUUUCAGCUGCAUUCCGGCUGUGAUCGGCGGGCAACAGGUAGAGGUGCUGGAGGGGGAUGAGUCGUGAUUUUCAGUGUCUGUCAUAUUCGAUCAAGUGUGUCAUAGAGCUUCCUGUUUCAUCUCCCAGUUAUU